rnacentral:rRNA from 1 species
AGGACGAACGCUGGCGGCGUGCUUAACACAUGCAAGUCGAGCGGAAAGGCCCUUCGGGGUACUCGAGCGGCGAACGGGUGAGUAACACGUGAGUAAUCUGCCCCUAGCUCUGGGAUAGCUCCGGGAAACCGGGAUUAAUACCGGAUACGACCACCUUAGACAUCUUUUGUGGUGGAAAGAAUUUCGGCUAGGGAUGAGCUCGCGGCCUAUCAGCUUGUUGGUGGGGUAACGGCCUACCAAGGCGACGACGGGUAGCCGGCCUGAGAGGGCGACCGGCCACACUGGGACUGAGACACGGCCCAGACUCCUACGGGAGGCAGCAGUGGGAAUAUUGCGCAAUGGGCGAAAGCCUGACGCAGCGACGCCGCGUGGGGAUGAAGGCCUUCGGGUUGUAAACCCCUUUCAGCAGGGACGAAGCGAAAGUGACGGUACCUGCAGAAGAAGCGCCGGCUAACUACGCGCCAGCAGCCGC